UUACAAAUGGUAUCAUAACCAGACAUCGAGCGGUGUGCUAAAGAAGACGUUGGGCCCUCAAGCGGGUGGAUUGUGAGAUCCCACAUCGAUUGGAGAGACGAACAAAACAUUUCUGAUAAGGGUGUAAAAACCUCUCCCUAACCAACACAUUUUAAAC